GCCAGUGUAGCUCAGUUUGGUUAGAGCAUGAAAACCGCAAGGUGUAUUUCACUUGUUGCUUUUUGCCUUUCUUUUAAAAGAAAUAAAAGCAUUAAGGUGCCGUAAAUAUGCGCUACUUCGUGUCACCGGUUCGAACCCGGUCGUUGGCA
rnacentral:tRNA from 1 species